rnacentral:rRNA from 1 species
UACAGAGGUCCCAAGCGUUGUUCGGAUUCACUGGGCGUAAAGGGUGCGUAGGCGGUCGGGUAAGUCUGAUGUGAAAUCUCCGAGCCUAACUCGGAAACUGCAUUGGAUACUAUUCGUCUUGAGAGUUGGAGGGGGGACUGGAAUUCUCGGUGUAGCAGUGAAAUGCGUAGAUAUCGAGAGGAACACCAGUGGCGAAGGCGAGUCCCUGGACAACUUCUGACGCUGAGGCACGAAAGCUAGGGGAGCAAACAGG